UUGCUCCUGGUGGCGAGUGGCGAACGGGUGAGUAAUGCGUCGGAACGUACCGAGUAAUGGGGGAUAACGCACCGAAAGGUGUGCUAAUACCGCAUACGCCCCGAGGGGGAAAGCAGGGGAUCGUAAGACCUUGCGUUAUUCGAGCGGCCGACGUCUGAUUAGCUAGUUGGUGGGGUAAAGGCCUACCAAGGCGACGAUCAGUAGCGGGUCUGAGAGGAUGAUCCGCCACACUGGAACUGAGACACGGUCCAGACUCCUACGGGAGGCAGCAGUGGGGAAUUUUGGACAAUGGGGGCAACCCUGAUCCAGCCAUUCCGCGUGAGUGAAGAAGGCCUUCGGGUUGUAAAGCUCUUUCAGCUGGAACGAAACGGUACGCUCUAACAUAGCGUGCUAAUGACGGUACCAGCAGAAGAAGCACCGGCUAACUACGUGCCAGCAGCCGCGGUAAUACGUAGGGUGCGAGCGUUAAUCGGAAUUACUGGGCGUAAAGCGUGCGCAGGCGGAUUGUUAAGCAAGACGUGAAAUCCCCGGGCUUAACCUGGGAAUGGCGUUUUGAACUGGCAGUCUAGAGUGUGUCAGAGGGGGGUAGAAUUCCACGUGUAGCAGUGAAAUGCGUAGAGAUGUGGAGGAAUACCAAUGG
rnacentral:rRNA from 1 species